AGUGAACGCUGGCGGUAGGCCUAACACAUGCAAGUCGAACGGCAGCACAGUAAGAGCUUGCUCUUACGGGUGGCGAGUGGCGGACGGGUGAGGAAUACAUCGGAAUCUACUUUUUCGUGGGGGAUAACGUAGGGAAACUUACGCUAAUACCGCAUACGACCUACGGGUGAAAGCAGGGGAUCUUCGGACCUUGCGCGAUUGAAUGAGCCGAUGUCGGAUUAGCUAGUUGGCGGGUUAAAGGCCCACCAAGGCGACGAUCCGUAGCUGGUCUGAGAGGAUGAUCAGCCACACUGGAACUGAGACACGGUCCAGACUCCUACGGGAGGCAGCAGUGGGGAAUAUUGGACAAUGGGCGCAAGCCUGAUCCAGCCAUACCGCGUGGGUGAAGAAGGACUUCGGGUUGUAAAGCCAUUUUGUUGGGAAAGAAAAGCAGCAGGUUAAUACCCCGCUGUUCUGACGGUACCCAAAGAAUAAGCACCGGCUAACUCCGUG
rnacentral:rRNA from 1 species